rnacentral:pre_miRNA from 1 species
UUAACUCAAUUUUGUAUGGAGUUGGGACGUUUGCCUACGUUUGCCGCUAGGGGCGCUUUUACAACUGCAUACAAAUUUGAGUUA